CAAAGUUUAGCUAAAGUAGUAUAGUGUUUCAUUUACGUUGAAAAUAAUUUAUCGUGCAAAUCGGUUAGCUCUGA
rnacentral:tRNA from 1 species